GACGAACGCUGGCGGCAUGCCUAAUACAUGCAAGUCGAACGCGACCAGCCGGUGCUUGCACUGGCGAAGUCGAGUGGCGAACGGGUGAGUAACACGUGAGAAACCUACCCUGGAGUGGGGAAUAACUCGAAGAAAUUCGAGCUAAUACCGCAUACCUUCUUACCGUCGAAUGGUGGUUUGAAGAAAGAUUUAUCGCUCUGGGAGGGUCUCGCGGCCUAUCAGCUAGUUGGUGAGGUAACGGCUCACCAAGGCAUCGACGGGUAGCUGGUCUGAGAGGACGAUCAGCCACACUGGAACUGAGACACGGUCCAGACUCCUACGGGAGGCAGCAGUAGGGAAUCUUGCGCAAUGGGCGAAAGCCUGACGCAGCAAUGCCGCGUGCGGGACGAAGGCCCUAGGGUCGUAAACCGCUUUCAGUAGGGCGAAAAUGACGGUACCGUGCAGAAGAAGCUCGGCCAACUACGUGCCAGCAGCCG
rnacentral:rRNA from 1 species